UAUUUGCCUUUAAGACUCCUGAGUCACAUAUCACUGAUAUAAGAUUCAUAGUAAAUUUGUUGUUUCAAGAUCACUGUAUAUUAUUUCUCAUGAUUCAGGAUUGGUACCCCCCCCCCCUUCCCUCCCUUCCAGACAAACAGAAAUAUAGAUGAUACAUCCCAAAAAAUAAAUAUGAAAUUAACUCACACACACAAAGGUUUCAAGAUGCUGUGUACAAUUUCAUUCACAACUGUAUUUUAAACUACAUACAUACGGAAACCAACCUGUCACUCGACCAGUUAAUUGUUUCAAAAUAUUCUGCUUUGAUAUUUAUAACUACAUGUUUAAUACACAUGAAGAAUUUCGUUUCCAUAGAUGUCCCCUCUGAUUUAUCCUUCCAUAAAAGUACAAUAAAAUCCCAAGUGAUAUUCUUUGGUCAAUACAUAAAAAUUACUUAUAAUCAACAAUGUUUAUUUAAUUCUUUAUAAAACGUCGCACACAAGCAGCUGCAUUGGAUACAAAAUAGACAGUUUAAAGACAGAUCACUCGACUAGUUUCUCUCAGUUUGAUCUUCGUCCUUCGAUAAGUAUUACGUUAUACCACAAUUUUUUACCGUUAGCUAUACCACAAUUUGUUGAAAGAAAGCUCGUAGAAUGCAUAGAUAAUAUAUACCCACUCUUAAAUCUCACUAGGAAAGUUUUAUUUAUCAUAAUAAUAUGAAAACUCGAAAACAUCGCGCCUUCGCGCUGCCAUGUUUGAUAAAAUCAAUCGGCUCCGCUCCCCCCGGAUUGAAAACUAAAUUAUUACGAAAUGUCCAAUAUUUUUGGAGUCACAUGACCAGUGUUUACCAGGGCCUUUGCUUCCCGUACCAGAGCCUCUGAACCGC